rnacentral:misc_RNA from 1 species
CUGUACGCGGCGAAAGAGCAUGUGGAACGGAAGCAUACUUGGAAUACCUAUGAUUCACAUUCAUCAUAUAAAAGUAUACUUACACAACGGGGAUAUUAGACAGCACGUUAACAAAGUCUCAAAGAGUCUGUGCGCUGAUUUAUUGGUGUCUAAAAGGAAACAAGACAAUUGGAUACAAAGCUAUAAGUAGAGCAACCAAUUCUCGCCCACAAGAAAGUCCACGAACACCAAGUAAUUGUAGAACAGCCAAACAACGCCAACCACGAUCCUGAGCCAAAUACUUCCUCAGUCUAACAAGUUCGUCCCCGUCGAUUCUCUUUGCGCAAAGUUCAUGAACAUCAGACAGCAGCUCGCAGGCUAUAAGGGUAGAUACACCACCACCGCCGACCAAACUGGAAUGGAUAUUUUCAUAUUGG